rnacentral:rRNA from 1 species
GACGAACGCUGGCGGCGUGCUUAACACAUGCAAGUCGAACGGAAAGGCCCUUCGGGGUACUCGAGUGGCGAACGGGUGAGUAACACGUGGGUGAUCUGCCCUGCACUUUGGGAUAAGCCUGGGAAACUGGGUCUAAUACCGAAUAGGACCACGCGCUUCAUGGUGUGUGGUGGAAAGCUUUUGCGGUGUGGGAUGGGCCCGCGGCCUAUCAGCUUGUUGGUGGGGUAAUGGCCUACCAAGGCGACGACGGGUAGCCGGCCUGAGAGGGUGACCGGCCACACUGGGACUGAGAUACGGCCCAGACUCCUACGGGAGGCAGCAGUGGGGAAUAUUGCACAAUGGGCGCAAGCCUGAUGCAGCGACGCCGCGUGAGGGAUGACGGCCUUCGGGUUGUAAACCUCUUUCAAUAGGGACGAAGCGCAAGUGACGGUACCUAUAGAAGAAGCACCGGCCAACUACGUGCCAGCAGCCGCGGUAAUACGUAGGGUGCGAGCGUUGUCCGGGAUUACUGGGCGUAAAGAGCUCGUAGGUGGUUUGUCGCGUUGUUCGUGAAAACUCACAGCUUAACUGUGGGCGUGCGGGCGAUACGGGCAGACUAGAGUACUGCAGGGGAGACUGGAAUUCCUGGUGUAGCGGUGGAAUGCGCAGAUAUCAGGAGGAACACCGGUGGCGAAGGCGGGUCUCUGGGCAGUAACUGACGCUGAGGAGCGAAAGCGUGGGGAGCGAACAGGAUUAGAUACCCUGGUAGUCCACGCCGUAAACGGUGGGUACUAGGUGUGGGUUCCUUCCUUGGGAUCCGUGCCGUAGCUAACGCAUUAAGUACCCCGCCUGGGGAGUACGGCCGCAAGGCUAAAACUCAAAGGAAUUGACGGGGGCCCGCACAAGCGGCGGAGCAUGUGGAUUAAUUCGAUGCAACGCGAAGAACCUUACCUGGGUUUGACAUGCACAGGACGCCGGCAGAGAUGUCGGUUCCCUUGUGGCCUGUGUGCAGGUGGUGCAUGGCUGUCGUCAGCUCGUGUCGUGAGAUGUUGGGUUAAGUCCCGCAACGAGCGCAACCCUUGUCCUAUGUUGCCAGCGGGUUAUGCCGGGGACUCGUAGGAGACUGCCGGGGUCAACUCGGAGGAAGGUGGGGAUGACGUCAAGUCAUCAUGCCCCUUAUGUCCAGGGCUUCACACAUGCUACAAUGGCCGGUACAAAGGGCUGCGAUGCCGUGAGGUGGAGCGAAUCCUUUCAAAGCCGGUCUCAGUUCGGAUCGGGGUCUGCAACUCGACCCCGUGAAGUCGGAGUCGCUAGUAAUCGCAGAUCAGCAACGCUGCGGUGAAUACGUUCCCGGGCCU